AUCAUUCUCUCUGCGCAUCAAACAAGGUGAAAUUUUGAAGAGGAAAUUAAUGGCUUCUAGGGCGAUUCUACGGAGGAGGAGGCUCCUUUCCGACUAUUUGAAUGUCUCUGCUCGGUCUAUUCAAAAUCUUCGGAGUUGGGGGAAUGGGCAAUCUGCUCAUUAUUUUGACUCCUGCGGUUUCAGCUCAACUGCGAAUUGUAUAUGUCAG
rnacentral:misc_RNA from 1 species